UCGUGGACACGCCCCCUCCAUUACUCGGCACACGCUUCGAAGCGUCGGCACAUCUCGUAACAUCACUAAUUAACUCUGAUAUAAUAACUGUUGGUUUAUUUAUCGGUGGAGCAGCAGAACAUUUUCCACAGACAGUUUUCCUGCCCGUUGGCUUGUUUUAACCAGUUUUCUGCCUUCGACUGAUUCUACCAGCAGACACUGAAAGGACUCUGAUAGUUCGAGUGAAAGUAGCAGUUCCUCCUUAAGGUCAGAGAUUGCAGCAUCUGAGGGCCUCUUCAAAAGAAGACGUAGUUGAUGAAGGCGUUCUGGAGCAGGACCAGAAAGACCACGACCAAGCAGCCUUGAGAUCUUAGGCAGCGUCUCCCUCAGGUGGGUGUCAACGGUGUUCACGGUCAGGUCUGUGGUAAUCCCGUCAGAAAACAAAACUGAAAAAAAUCUAGAUUAUAAAUCAACAUGUAACUAAAGCACUCUGUGUAUAACGCCAUAGUAUAGGAUGUAGUUCAGAAAGUGUCAAAGUAUAGUAUACUUUUCAAGAAUAACAUAGUAUGGCCUGUAGUUCAUAGUAUAGCUUGGCAAAAAAAAAAGAUUAUUAUGUGGUUCAAAAAGUGCAAAAUGAUAGGAUGUUGCCUAAAAUUGUCAUGUAUGAUAUGUGGUUCAAAAAAUGUCAUAGUGCAGUAUAUUGUCAGAAUAGUAUGUUUUUCAAGAAAAAUGAGUAUAUGUCGUCUAAAAAAUACCAUAGAAUAAUAUUUCAUUGCACAAGUAAAAGUAUAGUAAUUUUUAAAACUAUUCAAAUUCUUAAAAAAUGUUGCUAAAAAAUGACAAAAAAAACUUAAACAAAAAAGUCAUAGUAAUAUGUCAAUUUAAAAAGCCUAUAGUAUAGCAUGUCACCCAACAAACAUCAUAGUAUAGCAUGUCGCUCUAAAAACGUCAUAGUUUAGCCUUUAGUCCACAAAAUGUUGUUUUGUCCUGGCUGUCUGAAGUAGGUGAGGAGCAACACCAAAACAGUCCAAACGCUGGUUUCCAGAGGGUUAGACGAGUAUUUAUUUGAAAGAGGAAGUUUACAACAGAACAACAUUUGAGGGGUUUAAAAGCAAAUGGGUGUUAGUAAAAUAAAAAUAAAUAAACAGAACUAAAAGUGAACAUCACGUUGACAUUGAUGGACAUUCCAACCAGGAACAAAGUAAAAGAUAAUCAAUAUGAAAAAAACUCUUCCUGUUCACCUCUUAAAACCCAAAAACACACCGCAGUAGCAUCCUAAACUAAAACUACCAAUGUGUUCCCUGUUUUCCUUUGUGAACAAUUCAAAUGUCCCUCUCUAUCUCCCCACACAUCCACCAACCACUGGAACACAUCUCCAAAGUUCUGCCGGGCCAGCUCAGCUUCCCCUCAGAAGAAGUGGCGCCACCUGCCAGAUGAAGGAGCCUGUUGAGAGGCAGCUAGCAUUGUGAUUGGACUGUACUUUGGUCUGUUCCAAUCCAGCUUCAGCUCCAGAGACGGCAGGCGGGACGAGUCAACGGAGGCCGGUUGGACGAAGGCAUGCAGCUGAGUACAAUCCAGAAAACAACAGAGGAGGAGUGCAGCAUCACCAAAGAACUACAGACUCUUCACAACCUGCUCAAACUCUUGGUACAGAACCUCACCACACGGGUCAAGAAGGUUUCCAUCUCAUUUCUACUCUGAAGAUCACUUUCUCCUGCUCAAACUGCUGACAAAUGUUUCUGCUGCUCUAAAGUCUGAUCUACAGAACUUCCUAAAAACUCUCAAAGUCUCUUCUGCUGCAGGUUGCUUUGUAGAACUGUUCCAGAAAACCUCACUAAACCACAUGGAGGGGCCUCAAGAUAGUCGUCCAAAUGAAACCGUACAAAAACCAAACUAGCACAACCCAAACACUAAAGUCUCCUGCAGCCUACCAGAGAACCUCUGUGAACAGAGAAUCAGGACAGGAACUCUUACCUUCUGGACAACCAACGCUGGUUCACAAACAAGAAUACAGAAUGUGUCUGACCAAAAACCUCUGAAAACUCACUACAGCCAAGAUAAAGACACAACUCAGCUGCACCAAAUCCACUAAUCACUGCACACAUUAGCACCAUGUGCCAACUGUGGCUAAAGAACCACAUUUACCAAGACAACUGUCCAGUACAAAGCCCUAAAACACACCAAGAAACACAUUAAAGAUGAUUUUACUGCUGGAGGUUGCAAGCCAACGCCUAAACAAACUAAAGCAAUGGAGCCAAACCCGGUUCACUGGUGAAGAGAAACAGAGGAAAUGUUUGUCUGCAGCUAAAUAAAGCAGGAAGACACUGAGCAGCUCAGGUGUUCCUGAUAACACCAAGCAGCCACCUGGACAGCCAAUAGGAACACAGCUUACUGGAAGUCCAGAGGGCUGGGUUAGUGGAGUAAAUUUAGUUUAAAGUUGAAGCAGAAAGUUAACAAAGAAAGUUGAAAACCACCUUCUGAAACCUGAAAUCUCUGAGUUUUCACACAAAGAAUGUCUGAACAUGUCAAACUUCAUCGCUUUUUUGUUUUUUUUUAAUAGAUUUUUUCUUUAUACCGUGUAUGUUUGCAGAAAAAUGACGUCAUGAGGCAACCAUAAUAACAUUGCACUGCAGGUCAAGUUAGGUUGUAGAAAAUCUGGAAGAGCAAGAACGCAAUAUUGCAACCCAGAGGUUGGAGCAUGGAGCUGGAAUAUGUAGUGCUGCUUCUCUAUGGUAUCUUGGUGGAGUCAAUUCCAUGCAGAUGUCCAACUCUAGACGAGGCAAAACAUCCCUGAAUAGUUCUACCACCAGGUUUCACAGUGGGUUUGAUACACUACAGUAUCAUUUUCCCUCCUGUUGGUCUCUUUAGAUACACCCCACAACUGUCACACUUGGAUUCAUCUCAUUUUUUCCAGUCAUCCACUGAGAAAUGCGGCUAUGUCUCAGCCCAGGCCAAGUGUCUGGCCUUGUUUCCCCUCCUGAGAAGCAGUUUAAAGAUGUUAUUUGUCCUUGUUAAGGAAAUUCUCAAAGUUAAAUAAAUGCUCUCAAAACAGAUAAGUGUUCUCUCUGAGUUUUAUUGGAUGCAGUCCCUGAGCAGCCACUGCAGCUGAAUGAGUGCUUUUAGCUCUCUCAGCAAACAGCUUUAUACAUUUUUGAUGGAAAUAAUUACAUUCUCCUUGCCUAUUUCUCGACUCUCUGAGGAACACUAGCUUAUAUGUGCUUAAUUCUUUGCCCUGGGUCAUGUCUGGAUCUUGUACUGGCCAGUUCACAGUCACGAGGUCAGCUUUGUCGUGUUGGUCGCCCAGUAAACAAUGUCCUCUAUUGAAGACAUGAGUUGUUAUGACAGCGUGGGUCUUAAUUGCUCAUGCACAUACAAUUCAUGCCCUUGUGCAGUUUCCUGCCUUUGGAGUAUCGGAACCAGCAAGCAAUUAAUGUACAAAUCAGUGAAAUGUUGACAUGAUUUCUAGUUGUGCGUCGUCAAGACACCUCCACAUGAGCAGUGGGGAAAGCCUGUUAUAUGUCCAACAUCACAUGAUGUCCUAUUCAAAUAAUAAUAAGGAAACAGAUUACAUGAGCAAAUGAUCACAUAGGCAAAUAAUAAACAAAAUAAUUAGAUGAGUAAAUGAUGAAAUAGAAUUUCUCUUUCAGUCUUUUGAAACCAUCACUAGAAAGCUUUUAUUGACCAACUGAUUGCAGUCUUGUCUUCUUUAUUUAGCAAAUUCUGUAUCUGAAAUGAAGCUGCUUGUCAAACUUUUUGUGAGCAAAGUUUGAUGUAUUGAUCUUCUGAUGAUGUGGUCACUUUUGGUCUGACUGAUCCUGCUUUGGAUACAACCAAUCCAGUUUCCAGAAAGUGUUUUAGAGUGCUACUCACUGCCUCACAGCUUCAGUCUAGUCAUGAUUUCACGCUGAGAAACCCUUCUUUGCUCAGAACAACAAUCUGACACCUUCACUUAGUUCUGAUGCCAUGUUUCCUGCUAUCACAAUUCUAGCGAGCAAUGCCCAGCUGGAAACUUUAGCAAGCCUCCGAGGAGUCGAUCAAAUCUCUGUGUCAUCUGAUGCUGCUGCAAUGUAACGAUACAACUCAGAAACAUUUACCUUCUUUACAAACAAGUUCAAAUUUGUGUUCAAAUUUGGUGCAGUUUGAUUGCAGAUCUAGAAAUAUUGCUGAAUCUUCAAUAUGUUUUCUUCAUUUUAACUUCUUUUGUUUUAAAUGCUUCUUAAACUUUACAUUUUCUGAUUAUCUCUCAGUUUACAUGAAAAUAUGACAGAUUUCUUGUGGUCUCAACC